CAUAACACCAUUCUACAAUAUGUCCCUUCUGCUAAAUGACUCGGCGUCACUAUAUUCCAUGACCUUUCUUUCAAUAACCACAUCGACAACAUCACAAAAAAGCAAAUCAAACACAACCUAAAAGUACACUCUCCAGAACUUAAAUCCACCGCAUACAAAACACUGGUCAGACCCCAGCUGGAGUACAGCUCCUCUGUAUGGUCCCCGCAUACCGCGACUCGCAUUGAACAACUUGAGUCAGUUCAGCGUAGGGCUGCCCGUUGGGCCAAACAGGACUUCAGUAGGCUGUCCAGUGUCACAGACAUGCUUUCUUCCUUAAAUUGGCGACGCCUUGACCUCCGCCGUAUUGACCAGCGCCUGAUUAUGUUUCACAACAUCUUGCAUAACCAGGUAGCCAUUCCUAUACCUGACUACCUCAAACCUAUCACUAGACCAUCAAGAACCUCCCAUACAAACGCAUUCCAUAAUAUUCAAACCACAACGGUUAAUCAUAAAUUUUCCUUCUUUCCUAGAACAAUCAUCCACUGGAAUGCUCUACCUCCUGAUAUUGUCACCCUCCCUGGACCCGAGUUCAGCCUGACUGUUAGCCGGGUUGAACAUAUCUCCCCAUAGAAUAACUGAUCUGUUUUUAACCUGUUUUUAAAAAAUAACACACUUCUUUCUCUCUUUUAUAUCUUUUUAUUUCAGUCUUACUAACAUUCUUGUCGGUUGACGCGCGACAGGUCUAUGUCCCCAGAAGGGGUUUGACCUUACUGGAAGAUAGAUAGAAGAAUUCAAAAAUAUUUAAAUUCUUGUUUUAAUCUGCAACUCUUCAUUCAUUUAUUUCAGCCAAAAAUACAGAUUGAGCGAAAAGACAAAGUGCGAACACCAAAAGAUGUGCUCAUUAUUAUCAGGAUUGACAACAGUUUAUGCUUUUGAUAAAGCAGUCAUGCCAAGGAAGAGAUUAGCAUGUAACCAGCAAAGUUCAUCCUUGUCUUCAACACUAUGGAGACAACAAUUAAUACAUAUUUUCGAAAAUGCAUUUUGCCAAUCCUGGUGCAACCUGAGCUUACCAAGUUUACAUCAUACUGUCAGUUUGGACAUUGUAUAGAUGAUAAUAUGGAAAAUAUAUUGUGUUGUGAUAUACUUUUUUUAAACAGAUAAAGUGUUUUAUUCCAGACUUAACAUGUCAUUUUUCAUCAAGGAAUAACAAAAAUACAAUUUUAUUGAUAAGCAUGAAUUUGUAGUACAUAAUAUCAACAAUAUGUAUCUUAUGUAGUUUUUUAACAGUCUGUCAUCCAUAAGUAAACAUAUUAAGCAUGUUAAGUAUGUUUAGGGAAUAUAAUGUAUACAGUUUUGUUGUCUCUGCAAACUUAGUCAGAUACAUGAAAAUCUGUUUUAUGAUAAAUGAUGAAAAACUCACUCAUAGUGAUCUCACUAUUAAAUUUUCUGUCCAGUAUGAUAAAUAAAUUGUAUUGUAUGCCUUGUAUGUGUUCUGAAAAUAAAAUCAAAAUUACUGUUGUAGUUCAUAUUGACAUCAAGAUAUGUGAUGUAAACAUAUGUAGUCAUAUAAUGUUUACAUGUAUAUUAUUUUUACCGGUAAACAAAAAUUAAGAAGGGUAACAUUCAAUCUAUGAUGAUGUGUGCCAUAAAAUAUGUCUUGCUGAUUGCUAUAAUUUUGUUAAAGUUAAAAAUCGUGUUUUUGAACCUCUACAUAUGAAAUGAGUGAAUUUUGUUUUCUAUCUACAAUUAUACUACGUUUAAUAAUAUAUUAACUAUACAUAUAUUGUUGAUAACAAACAGCAUGUAUAUGCAAUUGAAAAUGAACUGUUUCCAUAGCAACUUUAAAGUAACUAAAUUUAAUUUGUCUAAAUAAUUUUAUCAAUUGUUGAAUAAACUAGAAUUGCUAAUUAAAAAAAUGUCUGGCAGUAUAGAUGCACAACACAAAUUGUAUAAUUAGCCGUUGUUUAUUUUAGUUUCAAAUUUGUAGCUAUAUAAACUGUUCAAUUUCUGAAUACACACCUAUUUCAAGAAAAUGUGCAAACAUUUUUUUUAAUUAUAAACAUAUUUAUGAUGUUUCAUAUCUGUCAAGGGCCUUUUCUUCUGUUAUGCAGGCCAGAAAAGCUUAUGGGACGGCAUGGUUUUUGUCCGUCCGUGCCUUUCCGCGAUUAAGUCCACAGUUUUCAUCCGAUUCUUUUCAAACUUUUUCAGUGUCUUAUUAUUAAUGAGGACUUGAACCCUAUUUAUUUCAGGUCACUGGGUCAAAGGUAAAGGUCACAGUGACUCGAAAUAAUUCAAUGGUUUCCGGAUAAUAACUCAAGAAUGCUUAGGCCUAGGAUCAUGAAACUUCAUAGGUACAUUGAUCAUGACUGGCAGAUGACCCCUAUUGAUUUACAGGUCACUAGAUCAAAGGUCAAGGUCACAGUGACUCAAAAUAUUAAAAUGGUUUCCGGAUGUUAACUCGAGAAUUCUGAUGCCUAUGAACAUGAAACUUCAUAGGUAUAUUGAUCAUGACUGGCAGAUGACCCCUAUUGAUUUGCAGGUCACUAGGUCAAAGGUAAAGGUUACCGUGACUCGAAACAGUAAAAUGGUUUCGGGAUGAUAACUCAAGAAAGCUUACGCCUGGGAUCAUGAAACUUCAUUAGUACAUUAAUCAUGACUUGCAGAUGAUUCCUAUUGAUUUUCAGGUCACUAGUUCAAAGCUCAAGGUCACAGUGACCCUAAACAGUAAAAUGGUUUCCGAAUGAUAACUCAAGAAUGCUUACGCCUAGGAUCAUGAAACUUCAUUGGUAUAUUGAUUAUGACUGGCAGACGACCCCUAUUGAUUUUCAGGUAACAAGGUCAAAGGUCAAGGUCACAGUAACUCGAAACAGUAAAAUGGUUUCCGGAUGAUAACUCAAGAAUGCUUACGCCUAGGAUCAUACAACUUCAUAGGAACAUUGAUCCUGACUGGCAGAUGACUCCUAUUGAUUUUCAGCUCACUAGGUCAAAGGUCAAGGUUACAGUGACUCGAAACAGUAAAAUGGUGUCUGGAUGAUAACUCAAGAAUGCUUACACCUAGGUAAAUGAAACUUCAUAGGUACAUUGAUCAUGACUGGCAGAUGACCGCUUUUAAUUUUCAGGUCAAAGGUCAAGGUCACAGUGACUCAAAACAGUAAAAUGGUGUCCUAAUAAAAACUCAAGAACAAGUAGGCAGAGGGUCAUGAAACUUUAUAGGUACAUUAAUCAUGACUGGCAGAUGACCCCUAUUGAUUUUCAGGUCACUAGGUCAAAGGUCACAGUGACCAAAAACGUAUUCACACAAUGGCUGCCACUACAACUGACAGCCCAUAUGGGGGACAUGCAUGUUUUACAAACAGCCCUUGUAUAAAAAGAGCAAUGUCCACGCAAUAAUUCCAGAAUGACUUCCCCUUGAAUAUGAGAAAAUUUUGAAAUCCCGCUUGUUUACGUACAUUAUUCCACAGUUAUCAUCCAAUUAUUUCCAAAUUUGCACAGUAUCUUUAUAUCAAUGAGGACUUGAACCCUAUUGAAUGUGAGCAGUAUCGGAGAAAUAAGUACACAAUAAUCUCCCCUUGAAUUUGAGAACAUUCUGCUUGUUUGCGCGUUUAAUUACAUAGUUUCCAUCUUAUUAUUUCCAAACCUGCACAGUGUUUAUAGCAGUAGAGCGAUUCAGACCCUCAUGGGCCUCUUGUUAGGAAUUGGAUGCUCAAAUUUCAGAUAUUGAUUUGUCAGAUGUAGCACUUUCAUAAUAUUUGCCGAACUUAAACAUUCAUUUUUUUUAUCAGAUGGGUCAAAAUCUCGUUCCCAGCCACAUAUCUAAGUUAGAAGGCGAUUUUUCAAGCGGUUCCGUAGUUUAGUUGUUACACGCUCGCUUCACAUGUGAGAGGUCCAAGGUUCGAACCCCAGUAGAAUCAAAAUAUUUUAUUUGUGUUCUAUGUUAACUUUUUGUUUUGAUGUAGACAUAUGCUGUUUUAUUGUAACCAUUUUUAGUUUUUUAUUAUGCCCAUGAAAUAUAUGUGUGAGAAGGUGGGGGGGGGGGUUCGUAAACGCAUUAAAAUUUUUACAGUACAUUUUUAUUGAAAUUAAUGGAUGCCGCGUGGUGACAACGUUAAUUAAAAUUUAUUACAUCUCUUAAAUAUCUUAUUAAAAAAUACACGUGUUUUCAUAUUAACAAAUAAAUGCAAACAACACAUAUAU